GUGGGGAAUCUUAGACAAUGGGGGAAACCCUGAUCUAGCCAUGCCGCGUGAUCGAUGAAGGCCUUAGGGUUGUAAAGAUCUUUCAGCUGGGAAGAUAAUGACUGUACCAGCAGAAGAAGCCCCGGCUAACUCCGUGCCAGCAGCCGCGGUAAUACGGAGGGGGCUAGCGUUGUUCGGAAUUACUGGGCGUAAAGCGCACGUAGGCGGACCAGAAAGUCAGGGGUGAAAUCCCGGGGCUCAACCCCGGAACUGCCUUUGAAACUCCUGGUCUUGAGGUCGAGAGAGGUGAGUGGAAUUCCGAGUGUAGAGGUGAAAUUCGUAGAUAUUCGGAGGAACACCAGUGGCGAAGGCGGCUCACUGGCUCGAUACUGACGCUGAGGUGCGAAAGCGUGGGGAGCAAACAGGAUUAGAUACCCUUGUAGUCC
rnacentral:rRNA from 1 species